rnacentral:tRNA from 1 species
GUUCUGAUAGUUUAAAAAAAACUUAGGUCUUGUAAACCUAUAAUGAAAUAAUUUUCUCAAAACU